AGGAUGAACGCUGGCGGCGUGCCUAAUACAUGCAAGUCGAGCGAACGGACGAGAAGCUUGCUUCUCUGAUGUUAGCGGCGGACGGGUGAGUAACACGUGGAUAACCUACCUAUAAGACUGGGAUAACUUCGGGAAACCGGAGCUAAUACCGGAUAAUAUUUUGAACCGCAUGGUUCAAAAGUGAAAGACGGUCUUGCUGUCACUUAUAGAUGGAUCCGCGCUGCAUUAGCUAGUUGGUAAGGUAACGGCUUACCAAGGCAACGAUGCAUAGCCGACCUGAGAGGGUGAUCGGCCACACUGGAACUGAGACACGGUCCAGACUCCUACGGGAGGCAGCAGUAGGGAAUCUUCCGCAAUGGGCGAAAGCCUGACGGAGCAACGCCGCGUGAGUGAUGAAGGUCUUCGGAUCGUAAAACUCUGUUAUUAGGGAAGAACAUAUGUGUAAGUAACUGUGCACAUCUUGACGGUACCUAAUCAGAAAGCCACGGCUAACUACGUGCCAGCAGCCGCGGUAAUACGUAGGUGGCAAGCGUUAUCCGGAAUUAUUGGGCGUAAAGCGCGCGUAGGCGGUUUUUUAAGUCUGAUGUGAAAGCCCACGGCUCAACCGUGGAGGGUCAUUGGAAACUGGAAAACUUGAGUGCAGAAGAGGAAAGUGGAAUUCCAUGUGUAGCGGUGAAAUGCGCAGAGAUAUGGAGGAACACCAGUGGCGAAGGCGACUUUCUGGUCUGUAACUGACGCUGAUGUGCGAAAGCGUGGGGAUCAAACAGGAUUAGAUACCCUGGUAGUCCACGCCGUAAACGAUGAGUGCUAAGUGUUAGGGGGUUUCCGCCCCUUAGUGCUGCAGCUAACGCAUUAAGCACUCCGCCUGGGGAGUACGACCGCAAGGUUGAAACUCAAAGGAAUUGACGGGGACCCGCACAAGCGGUGGAGCAUGUGGUUUAAUUCGAAGCAACGCGAAGAACCUUACCAAAUCUUGACAUCCUUUGACAACUCUAGAGAUAGAGCCUUCCCCUUCGGGGGACAAAGUGACAGGUGGUGCAUGGUUGUCGUCAGCUCGUGUCGUGAGAUGUUGGGUUAAGUCCCGCAACGAGCGCAACCCUUAAGCUUAGUUGCCAUCAUUAAGUUGGGCACUCUAAGUUGACUGCCGGUGACAAACCGGAGGAAGGUGGGGAUGACGUCAAAUCAUCAUGCCCCUUAUGAUUUGGGCUACACACGUGCUACAAUGGACAAUACAAAGGGCAGCGAAACCGCGAGGUCAAGCAAAUCCCAUAAAGUUGUUCUCAGUUCGGAUUGUAGUCUGCAACUCGACUACAUGAAGCUGGAAUCGCUAGUAAUCG
rnacentral:rRNA from 1 species